GAAAUGCAAGCAUUAUUAGACCUGUUGUUUGCUGUUGAAGGUUCUGUAUCAGAUGCAGCAAAGAUUUUAGGCCUAAGCACUGGUGCUUUGUCAAGAUUGAUUCUGUCAGAUGAUUCUCUCCGAACGGCCGCGAAUGAACUGCGAGCUUCGAAGAGGAGCGAGCUGAAUAGCGUGCUAUAAGUUCCUACCGGUAAGACUGUGUUUC